rnacentral:lncRNA from 1 species
GGAAAAAAAAUUUUUGAGGAAAAAAAAAUUUGAAGGAAAAAAAAAAUUCAGUUUGGACUUGUAAUAUUUUUCAAAAUUUGAAUAUCGAAAAAGGAAAUGGAAACCGAAUAAGGAAAUGAAAAUCGAAAAAGGAAAUAGAAACCGAAUAAGGAAAUAGAAACCGAAAAAGGAAAUGAAUAUUGAAAAAGGAAAAAGAAACCGAAUAAGGAAAAAGAAACCAAAUAAGGAAAUGGAAAUUGAAUAAGGAAAUGAAAAUCCAAUAAGG